UGUUAGGACAAGCAUGGUGACAAAUGCCAGUUGGCAUUUCAUUUUGGUUGGCUUUGUGUGCAGUUCCAUGCUCACUCAGGUGAGGUGGCCACAAAAGCUCAUUCAGGCCAGAGGCAGCUAAUGUCAUGGCUGGUUUGAAUUGAGGCCAUGGGAGGAAUGUGUGUGGUUUUGUUUCUUUUUUUUUACAGGGAGGAAGAAACAAAGUUGUCUUUGCAGAGCAGUGCUUACUUUGGUGUGAAUGGCUUUCUAUUACUGGAGGGAAACAGUAAUAACUGAAACUCCUGAUGUUUGUUGAAGUGGAUGUGUAAAUCUUUUUUAUUUAUGCUAGUAAAAGUGAAUUUUAUUGCUGCUGCUGCUACUACUACUGUGGUGAUAAUAAAAGCUUAGCUUGUUCUGAUACUUACAGAAAGGAGGAAGGAAUGGGUGUUUAGAUUUGCCAUCCCAUCCUUGGUCCUAGAAGGCCAACAUUGUCUGGUGUCUCUUAAAUUUUAUUUUAGAAGUAUUUACAUUUAUUCAUUUGCUUGAGCCUUUUAAAUGAAUAGCUGCUUCACUCAUUCUGAGGAAGCACAAAUACCUAGAAAGUGAUUCCUGAAAGCUGUUGUGCUACUGUGUUAUUCCGUCAAGACUCCUGCUGAUAAAAUGCCCAAGCAUCUGGUUGAAAAUUGAGGUU